rnacentral:rRNA from 1 species
AUGCAGAUCCCCUUCAUCCCCCUCGUCGCCACCACCCACCCCUCUAAACCUCGCUGCCACCCACCUCCGCCGCCGCCCUCACUCUCCCCUCGUCUCCCUCGUCCUCGACCAACCUCGCCACCGUGCAGGGGCUGGGUUGUCGCCGCGUGCUGUUCCUGCAGGUUGUCGCUGCGGGGGCCGGCUCCCAUGAUUCGAUCCAAUCCUCUCCCCCGAUCCCACCUGCCGGCAGCCGGCGUGCGCUCUGCUUCGUCGUUCCCCACCCUAGCAGUCGAUCCUGGCCGCCCCUGCUUCACCGGCCUCGUCCACCUCUUCCGGCAAGAUCUGACGGCCCCGCCCACCUUCUGCCCGUGGAGGAUGACGAGGGCGAGGAUGCGGAAGUCGGCGAGGGGGGAGGCGGCGGCGGGAUGCGCCCGGUGGCCAUCCGGUGGCCCUGCGUCACCUGCGCCCUCAAGAACAAGCGCGAGGACAUGGUGA